GAUGAACGCUGGCGGCGUGCCUAAUACAUGCAAGUCGAGCGAACGGACGAGAAGCUUGCUUCUCUGAUGUUAGCGGCGGACGGGUGAGUAACACGUGGAUAACCUACCUAUAAGACUGGGAUAACUUCGGGAAACCGGAGCUAAUACCGGAUAAUAUUUUGAACCGCAUGGUUCAAAAGUGAAAGACGGUCUUGCUGUCACUUAUAGAUGGAUCCGCGCUGCAUUAGCUAGUUGGUAAGGUAACGGCUUACCAAGGCAACGAUGCAUAGCCGACCUGAGAGGGUGAUCGGCCACACUGUAACUGAGACACGGUCCAGACUCCUACGGGAGGCAGCAGUAGGGAAUCUUCCGCAAUGGGCGAAAGCCUGACGGAGCAACGCCGCGUGAGUGAUGAAGGUCUUCGGAUCGUAAAACUCUGUUAUUAGGGUAGAACAUAUGUGUAAGUAACUGUGCACAUCUUGACGGUACCUAAUCAGAAAGCCACGGCUAACUACGUG
rnacentral:rRNA from 1 species